rnacentral:tRNA from 1 species
ACCUUGGUGGCUCCGAGGCGAGAGCGUCGGCCUACAAACCUCCAUGUGGCGGGUUCGAAUCCCGGCCGAGGUG